rnacentral:rRNA from 1 species
UACGAAGGGGGCUAGCGUUGCUCGGAAUCACUGGGCGUAAAGCGCACGUAGGCGGACUCUUAAGUCGGGGGUGAAAUCCUGGAGCUCAACUCCAGAACUGCCUUCGAUACUGGGAGUCUUGAGUUCGGGAGAGGUGAGUGGAACUGCGAGUGUAGAGGUGAAAUUCGUAGAUAUUCGCAAGAACACCAGUGGCGAAGGCGGCUCACUGGCCCGGUACUGACGCUGAGGUGCGAAAGCGUGGGGAGCAAACAGG